CCUACGGGAGGCAGCAGUGAGGAAUAUUGGUCAAUGGGCGGGAGCCUGAACCAGCCAAGUCGCGUGAGGGAUGACGGCCCUAUGGGUUGUAAACUUCUUUUGCCGGGGAGCAAAGUGCAGCACGUGUGCGGUUUGGCGUGUACCCGGUGAAUAAGCAUCGGCUAACUCCGUGCCAGCAGCCGCGGUAAUACGGAGGAUGCGAGCGUUAUCCGGAUUUAUUGGGUUUAAAGGGUGCGUAGGCGGGCCGUUAAGUCAGUGGGUAAAAUGUGGGGCUCAACCUUGGUCGGGCGGUUGAUACUGGGUGCCUUGAGUGGGCGAGAGGUACGCGGAAUGCGUGGUGUAGCGGUGAAAUGCAUAGAUAUCACGCAGAACUCCGAUUGCGAAGGCAGCGUACCGGAGUCCAACUGACGCUGAAGCACGAAGGCGUGGGUAUCGAACAGGAUUAGAUACCCCUGUAGUC
rnacentral:rRNA from 1 species